rnacentral:snoRNA from 1 species
AUGCAUCUCUGACAGACCUGGAACAAUUAAAGUAUGCUGCUAAGGUUUCCACAACAGAUGUGGAAAAAAAAGGUCCUUGUGUUUUCUGUCUGGUUGUGGCAGCCAAGACUGAAUGGGUGAAUACAAGA